UACAGAGGGCCCGAGCGUUGUUCGGAUUCAUUGGGCGUAAAGGGUGCGUAGGUGGCGCCGUAAGGGGGGUGUGAAAUCCCGGGGCUUAACCCCGGGACUGCAUUCCAUACUGCGGUGCUUGAGGACUGGAGAGGAGACUGGAAUUUACGGUGUAGCAGUGAAAUGCGUAGAGAUCGUAAGGAAGACCAGUGGCGAAGGCGGGUCUCUGGACAGUUCCUGACACUGAGGCACGAAGGCCAGGGGAGCAAACGGG
rnacentral:rRNA from 1 species